AAUAAUGAAAAUUCGGUAGUGGCAGAACAUUGUAAUAUAAAAAAUGCGAAAUUGUUUUAGAUACAAUUAAAUUACAAGAAAAAAAACAAACAAUCUUAAAAGACAGUUAUACGAACAUAUUUAUCCAUCAAUCAUGGAACAGUAUUAUUGAUAACAGGAGCAAUGGUAUGAAAAGUUUAUAAAAGGAGUAAGCUAAGUAAAAAUGUUAUUCAUCGUUUUCUGUUGCAUGCACAGGUAUUAUGAUUUUCUGAGUGUACUGAGUACCUUAUACAGGUACUGUGAAUUUAUUUAAAUAUCGAAGUAAUUAACAAGAAUGAAAUUCAUUAUGUUUGCAUUGUAAACCUGCUGAAGAAAGACCUGAAAUGAAAAUCCGAAACACAAAUAAAGUGUGUACAGGCGAAAAACGUACUG